GUGACGGAGAAGAGAACCGUAGAAGAUGUAGCAGAUGCACAGGAUUUUGAAAUAGAUUUUACACCACCAUGUGCGGUAAUUGAAUGUGUGAUAGUGACGGAUAGUUUCAUGUCUACAUAUUUUAGCGAAGAAGAAAUAACACCAUAUCCAAAUAAGAUAAUUCGUAUGUCACAGGAAAGGUAUCUCGAUGAAUUAUAACUCAAUCUAACAUUUCGUUUGAUUGGACAUAUCUCCUAUACAAGCAAAACCGAACCGAAUUACAAUAAAGAAAGUCUCUAUUCGCCCGAUAUCAUCGCUGGUAGUGUCCUUUCUAAAAUGAUUGAGAUUGAAGACAGUCCCGUUGUAUCAAGAGCCGAUAUUAUUGUUCUU